rnacentral:misc_RNA from 1 species
AUUUGACACGUCGAUCCCGGAAGAACAACCCCCGUGUUCGGCCGUACGCAGUACUUCCUAGGAGUAGUCGUCUUAACCUUGAAGGCGACAUACUGAUCGGUCUUAUUAGUCAGCUGAAUGCAGCACGAGCUCUGCUUCCUCGGCUCAAAAGGGAAUUUCAGAUCUGUCGGCUGAAUGAGGAGAAGAUCGCCGGUGUUCAUCGUCGGCGAUUCUCGGAUUGGGGGCGGCGGAGAGAUCGAAGUGAUCGAGGGU